AAGUAUCCCUCAGCACUACUGAAUUUGCAGUCAAAGUGGAAAUAUGAUGCUUUCUCUGGGUUUGAAUAUCAAAAAGGAAAAUUUAUAAAGUAAAAAUAACAUUACAAUUUGGCUUCUUUAAUGAAUGUUGGUAUUCUGGUGCGUGAAAAAUAACCCCCAAAGUUUCCAUGACCUCACAGUAUGGAGCCUUCUGUACAAAUAAAGCAUGAACUUGAACACAAUGUCCUAGGGAAGGUCUCAAGUCUCAAAAGGAAGCGAAAUGGUUUCCUUUUUCAUAAUGUCUUUUCCUGAGCACUAUAAUUCACCUGGCCAUUGGGAACCUUGAAGAAUCUGCCUACAAUCUGCAGCCAAGCUUCUUGGGAAUGAUGGAGUCACUGUUUCAGAGGUAAGAAAAUAUUUUCACCCCUAUCAUAGGCUCAUUGGA
rnacentral:lncRNA from 1 species